rnacentral:pre_miRNA from 1 species
AUAAUACUCCCUCCGUUCGGAAUUACUUGUCUCGGAAAUGGAUGUAUCUAGAACUAAAAUAUAUCUAGAUACAUCCAUUUCUAUGACAAGUAGUUCCGAACGGAGGGAGUAUUAA